CUCAUCUUUUACGACAGAAACGAGAAAGAAAAAAAGAGAGGAAGAGAGAGAGAAAGAGAAAGAAAGAAGGAAAGAAAGAAAAGGAGAUCCGUUCAAACCGUCGACAUUUUGGAGAAACCUCAAGUUGAGAAAAAUGCUAGGGGGAUUGAGAUGAAGCUGCUGCCAAAAUUUGGUGACAAUCGGAGAAGUUGACCGCCGAGUGAACAGUACCGCGCGUGAACAGUGCGGUGCGUGAAUAGUGGUGAGGUUUAAACAGAAUUUAAAUUCUUUUUUUUAGCUAGUUAAAUCCUUUAAUUUUUGUAGAGGUUGAUUAUGUGAAUUUGGUUGGAAUUGGAGAAGUUUUUAAUCAAUUAUAAAUUUCUAAAGAUUUGGA